UCUGCAACUCGACUGCGUGAAGUCGGAAUCGCUAGUAAUCGCGAAUCAGAAUGUCGCGGUGAAUACGUUCCCGGGCCUUGUACACACCGCCCGUCACACCAUGGGAGUGGGUUGCACCAGAAGUAGCUAGUCUAACCUUCGGGAGGACGGUUACCACGGUGUGAUUCAUGACUGGGGUGAAGUCGUAACAAGGUAGCCGUAGGGGAACCUGCGGCUGGAUCACCUCCUUA
rnacentral:rRNA from 1 species